rnacentral:lncRNA from 1 species
UUUUUUUUUUUUUUUUUGUCUUUUUUUGUCUUUAUGACUUUUCUAGGGCUGCUUCUGUGGCAUAUGGAGGUUCUCAGGCUAGGGGGCGAAUCGGAGCCACAACUGCUGGCCUCUGCCACAGCCACAGCAACAUAGGAUCUGAGCGGCAUCUGCUACCUACACUGCAGCUCACAGCAACACUGGAUCCUUAACCCACUGAACAAGGCCAGGAAUCGAACUGGAAUCUUCAUGGAUACUAGUCCGAUUCAUUUCUACUGCACCACAACAGGAACUCUCUUUCCCACCAUCUUUUACUCUUUAUGUUUGUGAGCUGACACUUCUUGAUAAUUGUUCACAAACAUACAUUCUGAUGAAACUCAGAGCUUUCUGAAGUACUUGCUUGUCUGUGGCUUUUUAGGGGUUUUCCAAUAGCUGAGUGCUCUAGACUGCCCUACCUCCCUUCACUUCCCUGUUGGCAUGACUUCUUCCAGAUUCAGCCCAGUCUCUGGGAUGGUGUACUGGGUAUGACCAGAGAGAGACAAUGGGGGAACCAAAUUUCAGAGGACUUUCCAACAAAAAUCAAGAUGGUGGGGAUGGUUGCACACUGAGAUUGGACCUAAAAUAUUUGAUAAUCUCCAUCUAUUUUAGAGACCUCUUCCUUGAUCUUCUGAACCUUUGUCUUUCCAAAAGAGUAUCUCCUGUGAUGUAGCUGAUGGGGCAAGCAGGAAAUGACUAGGGCCUUGGUGAUGUGAAGCCCGAAGUAAUAUACAGAUUGAUGAUUGCUUAGAUUCUUGAAAAAACAGCCUACAACUAUCCUUUGAACUUCUACUAAGACUAUUUCCCACUUGUUACAAAGAGCCAGAUAAAUAGGAACUAAGUUUAGUAUGAAACCACCAAACAAAAAUCGACAAGAAAAUGCAGUGUCCAUGUUUCUAUACCUACAUUGGAACCACCUGACAAGCCAAUAAUAAUAAUUUCCCAAAGUUGCCUUUGGCAGGUCUAGCCCUGUUGCCUUAAGCAUGUUUCCCUCUUGAUGUCAUGCUGUCUCCUCUUUGGCAUUUUACUAGAUCUUGUGGGUUUCUGCCAAGGGCACCAGACAAGCUUUCUGUCAGGAGUUUUUCCAGGCUAGGAGCCAAAAAAGUGGCUUGGGGUUGUCCAGAACCUCCUUAACUGUUCUUUUCAGCCUGAUCAGUUAUAAUAGAGGUGGGAGGGUACAGGACACAAUGGCUUAAGUCAUCUAGUGGUUUGCUGACUCUUUAUAAAUAGACAAUAUAUAGGAAUCUUUAAGAAAAUGGUGGGUUUUUAAUGACAGCAUGCAGAGUAUGACUAGGAGGAAGAUUUUAAGAAUUGGUAAUGGGAAAUACCUUCCAAUCUGAUCUUUCUUCACCAAAAGAAGGAAAAUCUAGUUUUGCCGGUGGGAAAGCUCCAAUUGCAACCAGUAAUCAGCCUGAUAUUUGAGUCUCUAUGUUCAUUGUGGUUUUUGCAUGGUGUGAAGUCGGCUGGGCAUGCAUUGUAACACAGAUAUCCCACCGGAGCUCUCAGACCCAAGAUGGAAAGUUGAGCUGCCUAUCAGUAAGCAAUAUUUUUAAAAUCCUGGAGACUUUUCAUCAUGACGUCAUUUGGUUUCAGAGCUCAGAUUGCUUCCUAGCUGAUAUUCUUUCCAUCCAGAGUUACAACGUGCACCUUGUGGCGCUUUGGAAAUGCCUUGAGACUUUCACUCUAUUUUUACUUAUAAAUAGACUUCACUACCAUAUAAAUCAAUUUAAGAUUAAAUCUCCUCGUGUUAGUAUCCAAAAUAUUACCAUAAAUUGGAAUGUGAAAUAAGCUGGGAUGAGACCAAACUCAGCUGACACAAAAAAUAUCAACCAGCUAACAUACUGAUUCAGUUUAUUCAAUUAAAGUAAUUACCCACUUGGCUGGGUCAAUAUUUAUUUUUGCAAUUCCUUUUCGUCUAACUCGUGUUAAUUUGUUUAGAUUUCCAUUUUGUAUCAUUUCUUUUAGGGAGAUUAGAAGAUCAUUAUCCAUUGCAUCCUGGGA